AUACAUGCAAGUCGAACGCGUUGGCCCAAUUGAUUGAUGGUGCUUGCACCUGAUUGAUUUUGGUCGCCAACGAGUGGCGGACGGGUGAGUAACACGUAGGUAACCUGCCCAGAAGCGGGGGACAACAUUUGGAAACAGAUGCUAAUACCGCAUAACAGCGUUGUUCGCAUGAACAACGCUUAAAAGAUGGCUUCUCGCUAUCACUUCUGGAUGGACCUGCGGUGCAUUAGCUUGUUGGUGGGGUAACGGCCUACCAAGGCGAUGAUGCAUAGCCGAGUUGAGAGACUGAUCGGCCACAAUGGGACUGAGACACGGCCCAUACUCCUACGGGAGGCAGCAGUAGGGAAUCUUCCACAAUGGGCGCAAGCCUGAUGGAGCAACACCGCGUGAGUGAAGAAGGGUUUCGGCUCGUAAAGCUCUGUUGUUAAAGAAGAACACGUAUGAGAGUAACUGUUCAUACGUGGACGGUAUUUAACCAGAAAGUCACGGCUAACUACGUGCCAGCAGCCGCGGUAAUACGUAGGUGGCAUGGCGUUAUCCGGAUUUAUUGGGCGUAAAGAGAGUGCAGGCGGUUUUCUAAGUCUGAUGUGAAAGCCUUCGGCUUAACCGGAGAAGUGCAUCGGAAACUGGAUAACUUGAGUGCAGAAGAGGGUAGUGGAACUCCAUGUGUAGCGGUGGAAUGCGUAGAUAUAUGGAAGAACACCAGUGGCGAAGGCGGCUACCUGGUCUGCAACUGACGCUGAGACUCGAAAGCAUGGGUAGCGAACAGGAUUAGAUACCCUGGUAGUCCAUGCCGUAAACGAUGAGUGCUAGGUGUUGGAGGGUUUCCGCCCUUCAGUGCCGGAGCUAACGCAUUAAGCACUCCGCCUGGGGAGUACGACCGCAAGGUUGAAACUCAAAGGAAUUGACGGGGGCCCGCACAAGCGGUGGAGCAUGUGGUUUAAUUCGAAGCUACGCGAAGAACCUUACCAGGUCUUGACAUCUUGCGCCAACCCUAGAGAUAGGGCGUUUCCUUCGGGAACGCAAUGACAGGUGGUGCAUGGUCGUCGUCAGCUCGUGUCGUGAGAUGUUGGGUUAAGUCCCGCAACGAGCGCAACCCUUGUUACUAGUUGCCAGCAUUAAGUUGGGCACUCUAGUGAGACUGCCGGUGACAAACCGGAGGAAGGUGGGGACGACGUCAGAUCAUCAUGCCCCUUAUGACCUGGGCUACACACGUGCUACAAUGGACGGUACAACGAGUCGCGAACUCGCGAGGGCAAGCAAAUCUCUUAAAACCGUUCUCAGUUCGGACUGCAGGCUGCAACUCGCCUGCACGAAGUCGGAAUCGCUAGUAAUCGCGGAUCAGCAUGCCGCGGUGAAUACGUUCCCGGGCCUUGUACACACCGCCCGUCACACCAUGAGAGUUUGUAACACCCAAAGUCGGUGGGGUAACCUUUUAGGAGCCAGCCGCC
rnacentral:rRNA from 1 species